rfam:Candidatus Desantisbacteria bacterium CG1_02_49_89 cg1_0.2_scaffold_16424_c, whole genome shotgun sequence.
GCCGAAGUGGCGGAAUUGGCAUACGCCUACGGCUCAGGACCGUAGGGGCGAAAGCCCUUGGGGGUUCAACUCCCCCCUUCGGCA